GUCAACAUUAUUUAUUGAUUGACUGCAGGCCUCAUUAUAUUCCAUUGGAUGGCUUUACAAAUGUCACCAUCAUGAACAUCUCACAUUAGUUCUUAUACCAUAAGGGAAAUGACCUGACAAAAAUGUGGAAUCCCAAAAGGUGCCUCAGCCAUCAAUGGGUGAAGAAAGAAAUCUUUCCUCCCCUAUAGUUUCUGGUACCCAUUGAAGGACAGCUGAGACACCCGACUUACUCUGGAGCUAGCAGAUGAAACCCUGGGACAACUGACAAAAGCCAGCAAAAGAUAAGGAUUCUUAUCAAGGAAGAAGUUGUACUCUGAAGUUUCCUUAUCUGCCUAAAAUCUGGACACACCAAAGAAGAAAACAAUCACCCCUGAUCCCUUCCCUGAGUUUUCAUUAACUCAACUCAUAUUGCAGGAAGAAAGACUGAAGUCCUUCAACGCACCUGAGAAGACUUUUGUCACAAACCAUUGUCUGCUUGGUGGGCUCAACAGACUUUGUCCCGGGCCAUUGUAUGUUUUUCAAGCUCAUUGAAUCCUCUUAAAAAUCAUUUACUAGCCCCCUAAAAUCACCCACAUUUCCCCAUCUCCCUUUCUUUUAAGAAGAAGGGUACAUAACCAUCUGUACCUUCUUGUGUGGUGUGGUAAUCACUCUGUGAUUUCUUCCAUGCAUGUUAGUAAAUGUGCAUGCCUUUUCUUCUACUAACCUGCCUUUUGUUAGUUGAGUUUCAGCAAACCUUCAGAGGUUAAAGGGGAAGUUUUCCCUUGGUCUCUACAGCUUUGGCAUCAUGAACAGGAUAACCAGUCACUCUGCUCUUCUGGAAGCUGCAGUCAAGGAAACUCAGGAUGUGACAAACUGGCAGAAGGGAAAUAAAUUCUUACCAGCUGGACUCUCAGCCUCUAUUUCUGCAGAAUCCAGUUGAGUGGAUGCUAAAAAUCAGUUUGUCUCUUUUUCCCCUCCAAAAUAUUGGUGUAAUGGGAUAAAAAGAUUUAGGUGACAAGUCUUGGGUGUAGUGUCUCUGGUGUACUUUUUGGUAUGAAUAUUCAUGUUGUUUGAUCCCUUUCCUUCCAGAAAUAGUCUUUGUUUUUGAUUGUUUGUUUGUUGUUCUGUCACAAAGAGGGGUACCAUGGGUAGAACAUAGGUCUCAUAUCUCUAUUAGCUGGUUGUUUUAGCAGGAUGUGCGGACUGGUAAGUUUUGUGGUUCUGAUCACAACAGCAUCUAUUUAGAUAAACUUUCCUGUAGGUCUCCCAAAUAAAAACUGUAUGAGGUUCCCCUCUCAUCUUGUUUCAUGUCUUUGAGAGCUUUAUUUAAGAUCUAGUAGCAACAGUCUCUCUUGGUCUCUGCCAUCUAGGAGGCAUGAUUUUUGGGUCAUAUCCAGUGAUCAGUUGGAAAAUGUUGGAAACCCCUGAGAUUUUAAGCAGUACACUUCUUGUUCCAAGCAUGUCAAGCUGGCGUAAGGGGCUUUUGUUGUCUCAAUCAUUUGUUGCCUGGUUAGUCUUGGGAAAGUACAAUCCCAGGAGGGCCUACCUAGAGUCAUGGAUUAAUGGGUCUGUGAAUGGCAGCUUUCUACAGAUUUGUGGAACACUGAAGGUACUGUACACAGAAACACCAUCCUAAACUGUCUGUGGCAACACGAGUCAUUUUCUAUCCUGGCCUAUACCUGGGAGUGAAUUUUUUUGGAUCAUGGAGACUGCCUCUUUCAUGUCCUCUCCAGAAAAGAAAAACACUUAUUUUAAACCUGAAAAAUUACUUCCUGGGAUUUCCUUAAAGAAGCUUAAUUGGACUGAGUUGCUAUUGGAAUAAGCACACCAUAAGAAAUUCUAGUCAUUAGUGGCCAAAAGAUGGAUUCUUUAAAUUAGAAAGACCCUGAAAUUUAAAAAAAAGUUUUCAGAGCUCCUCAUUCUAAACAGUUGCCUUGUGGGAAGAUCAGAUUAAAAGAAAGACACAUAAUAGUGUCAUAGGAAGCCUUAAAAAUUAUCUUGAUGAAAUUAAAAAACAAAAAUUUGACCUAAAGCAAAGUUAAAAUUAUUUGUAACCUCAAACUGCCUGAUUUGGACCCCUGUGAAAUUUACAGUGAUGGCUUCUUUACCUUGUAGUCUAGUAGUUAAAAUUCUAUGAUUUCACUCUAACAACCUUAGGUUUGAUGCUUGGUUAGAUAACCAGUCCCUUUUAGUUUGAUACUUGCGUGAAGCUUAACUUUGGGGGUACCCAUUUGUUAUCCAUUCUUUUCCCUUCUAUGGACAAGUGUUGAUUUUCUGCCUUCUUCCAUCUGUGGGGACAUCUGGGCUUUUGGACUUUUGUCUAUAGAUGGUCAGCUGAGAAGCUGAGAGCCUAGAGUAUAUGGAGACAGAUAUGGGUUGUACCCCAUUUGUAGCUAAUGAACCUUUCCUUUCUUUCAGCUGUCUUUGGCGUAGUUUUGGAUUUUGUGAGGUCUGCUUUGCACCUCUUUGGAGAUGACCUGUGUGUCCUUGGUUAAGUCAUAAUUUUGGUUAAGCUCUAUUCAUUCUGGUGAGUUACUUGGAGGGUACUUUUGGUUAAAAACAAAAACAAAAAAAGCUCAAAAGCCAAAAAUAUUGUCGAUUUGUCCUGGCUAAGAUUUGAUAAUAAGAGAUUUGAGGGAAGUUUUCUUUUUUUAAAGAGCUCUGUGGUCAGUAAGCGACUUAUUAAAAGCUGAUAUUCAAGAGUAUUUCUUUUUUAAAAUAACUCUCUGCUUUUUCUAUUUUGUAUUCUGUUUAUGGGAAGUUUUUUCAGUGAAUCAAAACCUCUUUUAAAAAGUUAUAUGCUUGCUGCUUCCAUUUACUUCCUUUCUGUGGGUAUGAUUUUUGCUAAAGAAAAAAUAAAACUUCAUUGACCUUUUACAAAGCUUAAAAAUCUCCCCAAAUUGCCUCUUAUGAGAAAAUUUCUCCCAUUUACUUUACUCCUCCUCCUGCAGUGCUUAUCUUUGAUAACACAUGAAAGAAUCUGGAAGGGACUUGUAAUGAUCCUGAGACCUCUUGAGGAACACAGAAGAAGGCACCACAAUCCUCAUUUUGGGGUCUUCUGUCUUCCUUGUGCAGUCUCAAGAGCAUGAACAGGUUACUCUUAGGUCUAAAGCUCUGCUGUCUUUUACACGGAACUCUUUUAUAUCUUUGGCUUUUAGAAACACACAUGUGCACCUGUGUAUGUCAUAUGUUGUGUCUGCAUGUACAUAUAUGUUUGUACAUGUGUUUGUAUAUUGGCUACGUGGUAACACACUAACAUAAAUAAAUGAGUACUCAUAAAUUAACUAGCCCGCUUUUCAAGUUCAUGUGGCUUUAGUAGUUUUUGGUAAAUAAAGCUAAUUUUAAAAUUGUUGGCAAAAUAGAAAUGUCUUCAGAGUUUUAGAUAUUUUUGUCUGGGUCUACUCAUCAGACUAAUUUAUACUAUUUAUGAUAGAUGUUUUCAGGUCACAAAGCUGUUGCUUCUGUGAUAUUUUUGUGCUUGUUUGAUCUGUCUAUGAGUUUAUAUUUUUGGUUUUGAGGCUUUAAAUUCUAAGGUCUAGACAAUUGGCCAUGGUCAGGCACAGGGACACAUGUGUGUCCACAGUGCCUAUGCCUCAUCCUCCCUGGCCCAUCUAUGCUUCCUGGCCAUGCUGGGAGGGGUCAGAUCCUCCAGGCAUUGUCUUCACAGGUCUGUCUUUUGUCCUGGGCUCUGCAUCUGAUACAUACCAAUUAAAAUUGCUUUCUUUCUAUAUUUCUUAUUGUAAGUUAGGUUUACUAUGUAAUUUAAACAAGUAGAUAUAAGAGAAACACUUCUGUAUGCAAAGUAUAUAAAGAAAAUAGGAUGUGUUUUUGGUAAGGAAGGUUAUAAAGAAGGUGUGAGAAUAUGACUUUUGUUAAAGAAAAAGUAGUUUUGUUUAGUUUAAAGAUUUUUAAAUGUUGUUUUAAAUUGAAGAAAUAAAAAAUGAGAAUUGAUAAAACUAAAUGGAAAAAGAAUGUUGGGAAAAGAAAGAAUAGGAAAAAAUUUAAGAGGUUAUAAAAGGUUUAUCACAAUCUUAUGUGGCCAAAGCUGAAUGAGAUUAGAUAAAUCUAUUUAUAAGGUUUUAUUAAAAUUAGGUUUCAUAUUAAUAAUACAUUGAUACAAGGGUAAAGUUGAGAGGGAGGUAAAGAGAGAGGAAGAAAGUCUCAUAUUGUCUUUAUUAGGGCUUUUGACUAUUUGGAAAACUGAGUCUCCUUUCUCUCUAAGAGUAAAGGUUUUUGCUUUUUGAAAUUUUUGAAUUAUUACUUUGGCUAAAUUAAUUAAUCUUUUAUAGUGACCUGUGAUCCUAUUUUGAUUGAGUGUUUUAAGCGUCCCUUAUUUUGAUAUUAAGUGUUUUAAACCUUUGAUAUUUGACAAACUUCCCAAAAUCAAAUAACAAAUUUUAAAUCUAUCUUUUUGACCUUAAACAGAUUUUUGGAUGUUAGGACCCUUGGAAGUCCAAAUGAGAACCCUGAAAGUCUAAGGGAGACAUAUUAGGCUUCUUUCAUAUGUUAAAAUUAUACUGUCAUUAUUGUCAAAUAAGAAAUGGUGUUUAUUUGUAUGGAUGUUAUUAAUAUGUGUUCCAAAAUUGUAUGGAAUUCCUAGAAAUCUGAUAUGUCUUGGUAUAUUAAGUAAAUUGCCUUAUCCUGAUGUUUUUUCUUCUAAAAGCUCUUUGCGAAUUCUAACGUGUUUUACCUUCAAGAAAAUUCAUGGAAAGAUCCAUGAGAAGUACUCUUAAAUACAGGUUUCAAAUAACACUGGAUCAUAUAAUUGGGCUAAAUAAAAACUUCCAGAACUCUAAUAAAAUAAGCCUAAUUGAUUCAUGAAGAUUGCUAACUCAACAUUAAGAAGAACAAGAAUUAAUUACACAGGACUGAACUGAUGGCAGUCAUAAAUGAUUUUUAAUGACUUUUUGUUUGAAACAUUGCGGAUUCUUUUUAUGUUUUCUUUUCCAGAGUCAAGAUUUUUUUUUCUUUUGAGUUAUGUGUAGCUUUCAGCAAUUGGGUAAAGUAUACUUUUGUGAGCAAAAUUGAAACAUUUACCUUUCCCUCUACCUGAUUUCUCCAGAAUUUGGAAACUGUUUAUGAGUAUUCUUAUCUUAUGGCAAUAUAAUUAUUUGCAUAAGUUAGAUAAGAAUAUGUUUUAUUUUGCAACAGGACACAAUCAGAAAUGCUGCUUAUUUUAUCAAGGUUUUGACUGGAAUGACAUAUUUUCAGAUAUGUCCAGACUGCUUUGAAGAAUUGAGGUUGACUUUAUUGAACUGAUGAAAAGCCCUUUGGAAAGGCUGACCUGGUACUUUAUCUACAUGGUUCCUUUUCAAUGUUUCUGACCUUGUGAUAUUAAUUAACGAAGAACAUAUUGCGUGCCAGGAAAUACUCUACAUGUUGGAGACAUAUCAAAAAGUCCAUAUAUUCUGGGAAUGCUUUACUAGCACUAUUGCAUUUUAUUAUACAAUCACCUUUGUUAGGAGCUGAAUUGUGUCUCCCUAACCCAUUAAUAUGCUGAAGUCCUAACCCCUACUACCUCAGAAUGUCACUAUACUUGAAAAUAGGAUUUUUGAGGGGGUGAUUAUGGUUAAAUGAGGUCAUAGGAACACCAAUCCAAUAUGACUGGUGUUGUUAUAAGGAGAGGAGAGAUGAGGCCACCGAACACGCAGAGGGAAGACCAUGUAAAGAAGACUCAGAGAGAAGACAGCUGUCUACCAGCUGGGAGGGAGGCCUCAGGAGGAACUAACCUGUGAACACUUUGGUCUUGGCCUUCUAUCUUUCAGAACUGUGAGAAAAUAAAUUUGUUGUUUACACCACCCACU
rnacentral:lncRNA from 1 species